rnacentral:rRNA from 1 species
ACUCCUACGGGAGGCAGCAGUGGGGAAUUUUGGACAAUGGGGGCAACCCUGAUCCAGCAAUGCCGCGUGAGUGAAGAAGGCCUUCGGGUUGUAAAGCUCUUUUGUCAGGGAAGAAACGGUAGUAGCGAAUAACUAUUACUAAUGACGGUACCUGAAGAAUAAGCACCGGCUAACUACGUGCCAGCAGCCGCGGUAAUACGUAGGGUGCAAGCGUUAAUCGGAAUUACUGGGCGUAAAGCGUGCGCAGGCGGUUGUGUAAGUCAGAUGUGAAAUCCCCGGGCUCAACCUGGGAAUUGCAUUUGAGACUGCACGGCUAGAGUGUGUCAGAGGGGGGUAGAAUUCCACGUGUAGCAGUGAAAUGCGUAGAUAUGUGGAGGAAUACCGAUGGCGAAGGCAGCCCCCUGGGAUAACACUGACGCUCAUGCACGAAAGCGUGGGGAGCAAACAGUAUUAGAAACCCCAGUAGUCCCAU